rnacentral:rRNA from 1 species
UACGGGGGGGGCAAGCGUUGUUCGGAAUUACUGGGCGUAAAGGGCUCGUAGGUGGCCAACUAAGUCAGACGUGAAAUCCCUCGGCUUAACCGGGGAACUGCGUCUGAUACUGGAUGGCUUGAGGUUGGGAGAGGGAUGCGGAAUUCCAGGUGUAGCGGUGAAAUGCGUAGAUAUCUGGAGGAACACCGGUGGCGAAGGCGGCAUCCUGGACCAAUUCUGACGCUGAGGAGCGAAAGCCAGGGGAGCAAACAGG